CUGUAGCAAAUCUUGUGACAGGUUAUAGCGCUCGUUCAUCAUGUUCCAAUUGCUGAUUUUCGUCGUUGGUGUAGGCGCCACCCUGGCAUACGAUAUUCAUCUCAUAGUUGCUGAGAAGCAAGGCGCUAUUCCACAUUAUACACGCCAUGGCUACGAUUAUCCUGCCAUCAACUUGGCUCAGUUUGGAGGAAGACAGAGACCUUCCUCUGAUGUCCGUGGAUUCGAAUUACAAAGUUUCAAUCGACAGCCUCCUGCGGCUCCCUUAAGUCAGAACACCGGAUUCCAACCUGCAAGCCCUUUGAGCCAGAACACCGGAUUCCAACCUGCAAGCCCCUUGAACCUAAACACCGGAUUCCAACCCGUAGCCCCAUUGAGACAGAACACCGGAUUCCAAUCUAUUAGUCCAUUCUCUGCAGAAGAAAAUGAUGGAUAUCCGAGGCAAGAAAUUAAUGCAGCUUUUCCCGAGAGUGCAGGUCCAGUAUUCCAGCGCCAAGGAUUCGGGCAGCCUGGAGUACAAACAAGCUUUUUUCGAAGAUUGAACCCCAGUAGUUAUUCUGCGCCAAAUGGUUUCUUACAAAGGAGGUCAUCGUAGCAUUCGUCAUCCGAAAAAGUACCCAAAACUAAAUGGGAAUUCAGAAGCAAGUGAAGUGUUAAGUCUACUGAAUGUUAUUUCGUGUGCAGAUUUUCAGACAUUGUUUUACGUUAUUAGGAAGUUUCAAUUUUGUUUGGUAAUAAGUCAAUCAGAUUCAGUAGAGGAAAAUGCACCAGUGUAAAGAAAGCCAGCAUUCGCAGAUGUUACGAAUCUAAUUCUGCAAGAGAUUGAAUAAGAUGAUCAAUGUUUGUAAAUAUUAC